UGAUCAUUUAAUCUAAAGACAUGGAUGAAACUGAAGACCAUUAUCUUAAGUGAAACAACUCAGACAAAUAUCAUGUGGAAACUCACUGGGCUGAUGAAUGCAGUCUUCCUGAUGUGAAUGGGAUUGAAGAGCUUGUCAAAAAACAUAAAGCCAACUUCACCCUUGUCACUGAACUGAGACUUUUCAACCAAACCUGUUACACAGAAAAGAAAAUACCGAAAGAAUAUUCAUCAAUCUGUAAAUAGUGAUUAUCUGUGGGGUAUGUGUGGAAAAUUAUAGGAGACUUAAAUAUUCUACAUGAUAGAUUUUUAUAAUAGUUUAUUUUUAUAAUUAGUGUGUUAUGUUUGUAAUUAUAAAUCAACAACAGCAAAAUAUAAUUUAAAGGCUCAGAGUUUUAAUAAAAUAUUUAGAAUUGGAUAAAUUCA